rnacentral:rRNA from 1 species
GACGAACGCUGGCGGCGUGCUUAACACAUGCAAGUCGAACGGAAAGGCCCCUUUUGGGGUACUCGAGUGGCGGACGGGUGAGUAACACGUGAGUAACCUGCCCUUGACUUCGGGAGAACUUCAUGAAACUGGGGCUAAUACCGGCUAGGAAUCCUUGCUGCAUGGUGGGGGUUGGAAAGCUUCGGCGGGUUUGGAUGGACUCGCGGCUUAUCAGCUUGUUGGUGGGGUAGUGGCUUACCAAGGCUUUGACGGGUAGCCGGCCUGAGAGGGCGACCGGCCACAUUGGGACUGAGAUACGGCCCAGACUCCUAAGGGAGGCAGCAGGGGGGAAUAUUGCCCCAGGGGCGGAAGCCCGAUGCCGCCACGCCGCGUGCGGGAUGACGGGCUUCGGGUUGUAAAACGCCUUCCGCAGGGGAGAAGCUUGUGGUGACGGUACCUGCAGAAGAAGCACCGGCUAACUACGUG